UACGUAGGGGGCAAGCGUUAUCCGGAUUUACUGGGUGUAAAGGGAGCGUAGACGGCGUGGCAAGCCAGAUGUGAAAUACCGGGGCUCAACCCCGGGACUGCAUUUGGAACUGUUAAGCUGGAGUGUCGGAGAGGCAGGCGGAAUUCCUAGUGUAGCGGUGAAAUGCGUAGAUAUUAGGAGGAACACCAGUGGCGAAGGCGGCCUGCUGGACGAUAACUGACGUUGAGGCUCGAAAGCGUGGGGAGCAAACAGG
rnacentral:rRNA from 1 species